rnacentral:rRNA from 1 species
AUUGAACGCUAGCGGCAGGCCUAACACAUGCAAGUCGAACGAGUGGCGGACGGGUGAGUAAUGUCUGGGAACCUGCCCGAUGGAGGGGGAUAACUACUCGAAACGGUAGCCAAUACCGCAUACCUUCAGCUGUGCCCAGAUGGGAUUGGAUAGUUGGUGGGGUAACGGCUCACCAAGGCGACGAUCCCUAGCUGGUCUGUGAGGGUGACCAGCCACACUGGAACAGAGACACGGUCCAGACUCCUACGGGAGGCAGCAGUGGGGAAUAUUGGACAAUGGGCGAAAUCCUGAUGCAGCCAUGCGGCGUGUAGGAUGAAGGCCUUCGGGUUGUAAAGAACUUUCGGCAGGAAUGCGUUACCCGCAGAAGAAGCACCGGCUAACUCCGUGCCAGCCGCCGCGGUAAUUC